rnacentral:rRNA from 1 species
AUGCGAAACGAGCUGUACCCUUGCUGCUGUGCGGAAGACGAGUUGUUGUUUGCCUGGCCAUUGUCUGGGGAAUUAUCACAUUGGUUUUCUACGUUGGGUUCUGGUAUCAGCCGAUUAACUUCUGUUCCUCCUAUAUGUCUUUCUUCUGUUGGCCAAAAAAGUAUUUCUUCAAGCAGCUGCAACGGAAACAAUAUUUUUGGGUUUCAGGAGGCAACAGUUAAAAGCAGAAUCACACCAUCUAUGGUAGUUUUCCAAGCGCAUUGCUUGUCAUUCGUUAAGCAAGAAUGUGUACAAUUAUCAUUAAAAACAUCCUCUAACUUGCCGGACAGGCAUGGCACUGAAAGGAACAUAUUUACCAACACUGUGCAAUCCUAG